GGACUCUCUCACUUUUAGAAGCCUCCUCAGUACGUUGUAGGGAUUUGACAGCCCGACGGUUUUUGUUAGAAGCAAAGGACAAUAAGGGCCGAAAAGUUAGCUAGUGCGGCCAUUUUGGGAUCAUUACACAUAAAGAGUACAUUUAUGAGACGAAUACAUCUCUCGUGGAUUCACGGUAUCCUUCACUGGCUCGCGUUCCGUCUCGCGUGCCCUAUUGGCUGGGUGAGGACGGAGACUUGUUUACGUAAACCCAGCACUGGCAAUGUUCUGACACGUGGUAGAUGGUGAAGCAUCUAAGAUGUUAGUGAAUGAAUGGACACCAGUAGUUUUGCUUUUUUUGCGUGGUGAUGUGGCACGAUCAUUUAUUUAUUUAACGUAUUUUGUGUGUGUGUGUGUGCGCCAGGCACCGUUGUACCUUUUGGGAUACAUCAGUGAACGAUAGACAAAACUUUCCAGCUCUCGUCCGCCUUACAUUCAUGUAGAAUGGACAGGAUAAACACGUUCUUCCUCUCCUUGUGUUUUCCAGCUCCUUGAUGCUCAAACUGUGCUGCAGGCACUUGUGGCAUCAGCAUCACCUGGGAACUAUUGGAAGUGUGGAGUUCCUGGUCCCAUUCCAGACCUGUUGAGCUAGAAUCUGCAUUCUCAGAUAAUUCCUGUUAUUGGAGUAAUGCUCUCAUGGAGAAAGGAAACUGGUUCCAAUUUAGUGUCAGUUCCAGGAUAAUCAUCCAGGGUAAUCACUUUCUCUGCCUGGCUGAGGAUGAUCCAUCUUGUGAAAGAUCAAAGAGUAAAUAUCUAUGUAGAAAGAUCUGAAGAACAUGUUGACAAGCUGGCUUGAAUCAUUUAAAUUAUUCGCACUUCUCUGUGGCUGGCAGAAGAACUUCUGCAGGCAAGAACAUAGCCGAAUGGCCCUAACAGUGAAAUAGAGUGACUCAGGAUUCCACAAAAGCUGAAGGAGAGUACACGGGAUGAACACAUUUUCUGGAGGGAGCGGUAUUGGAAUCCCAAGGCGCUGGGCACAGCUCCCGAGGAAGCCUGCCAGUGCCUGUGGCUUUGGGUUAUUGAUGCUGCAAUAGUUCCAGUUGGUGACAGAAAGCCCUUUCCAGAAGACAGUGGCACUGUUAGCAGCAGAACUCGUGGCUGGCUCCUUCCAGCUCCUCCAAAUUUCUGGGGCACAGAGAAGCAUCACGCUGCCUUCAGCACAGCUCUUCCCUGGGAGACGCUGGAGGGACAGUCUGCUGCCUUUGCCAGACUCGGGCCAUACUCUCCAACAGACUGGAGAGAUUCAAAGCUAGGGAGAUCUCCUGCUGCCUUGAGGAGGCAAACUGCUGUGUCUGGAAAAGGCUGCCUGGCAGGGAAUAGCAGACAGCUUCUACGAGUUGGAAUGGCCCCCAGCUGAUGGCCAGCAAGAAGGCAAGGAACUGAAUCUUCCCAACAAUCAGUGAACUUGGAAAAGGACUCCAAGCUUCAGGUUGCAAGACAGCCUCCCGCCAUCUCUCCCUACUUCCGAAUAAGAGGAUUCUAAUGGAGUCACCAUGGGUGAUGAGGCUGAGCCCCGAGGUCCUCCCCUGCCGGGACUGUUUCUGCUGCCUGGUUGUUAGCUGUGUGGCUGCCGCCUUUGUCUUUGGUUUCUGCAGGGAAAGGCGUUCAAAGAAGGAGGUGCAUUUGGAUUUCCAUACUGCUCGGUCCCUAUUUGAUUCUUGUGAACUCAGCAAAGAUUCGUGAGCUGUGCUGGGUUUAUAAAAGGGGCCUUAAAGAGCUGAAUAUGACAUAGCCCCCCUACUUCAAGGAGCUUGUGGUUUGGAAAGUGUGGAACAACAAGCACACUCCACCUGUGGCAGAGACUAUAAACUAUGAAAGGCAUGGAUGUGGGCCUAUGGGAUGUUGGGAAUUUGAGGAAGAUCAGAAAGAACUUUGUGGAAGAGAAAACGUUUAAGUUGGGCCUUGAAGGAUGGUGUGACAUAGGCAGUUAAUAAAUGCUUACUUAAUGUCUGGGUACUUCUCAUCACUUUCCAUAUUGCCUUGCAAGUGGGUUGGGACCAGGUGACCAGUUCUGACCAAUGGAUUAUUGAGCAGAAGAGACAUGAGUCACUCUUAUGUGGGGGCAAUCAUCCCUCUCCAUCUGCCCUCUUCCACUGCCAUGGUGACUGGGUACAGGAGAACUUUGCUCUCCAAAACAAGGACUUGUAUGAGCAAAACCUAAAUUUACAUUACAAACCACCAAGAAAUCAGGGUUUAUUUGAUAUCACAGCAUAGGUUAGCCAAAUGAAUACAGAUGGGUAGGAAGGAUUACUUAGUGAGACAUGUCAAAAUCCCAAGUGAUACAGUUAGGAACUUUCAUUCAUAGAUAAGAAUUUUGAUGGACUCCUGCUCUGAGCUCAUAAUAAAAAGGAAGUGCUUAAGUAGCUCACAGAAACCAAUGGCAGGUUUUAAGUGAAGUUGAGUUAUCUUAUUCUUACGGAGAGAUUUUUUUGGAAGAGGACACAUUUAUUACAGAUGGAAAAUAUAAUCAAUAAACUGAAUAAUACAUUAAGCAGUAUAGUGAGUCCCUGAGUCAUGGGUAUCCUAAUAGAUUAGUGUGGUUUGAAAGUCAGAGCCUCUGCACUCCACAUCUCCAACCAGAAUGAGAAUAAAAUUAUCAUUGGUCCAUUAAUUUAGCAGGUACCUGGAGUGACAGAAGAAAUAUAAGUAGAAUUUUGGUCCUUGACGAACUUAGUUGUGGUUGGGGAAGCAAGAUUCCAAGCACCGGGAUGAAAGAGGGAAGUGAAGAGGGCUCAGCAGGGGAAAUAGCAGGUCAGAGGGGGCUUUUUGGAAGCUGAGAGCUGGGUCCUGGAGGAAGUGGGUUAUAGAUAGUGGGUUAUAUAAGUGGUGGAAAGAAGGUGAACAGAUAGUCCCACUGGAGUGAGUGAAGGACUGAAUGGCCUAGACCUCAUGGACAGUUUGUCUGAAAGCAAUCCCAAGUGCCCUAAUCGAAGAAGGAGGAGGGAAUGUAAAUAAGAAGAAGGAGGGAAUUGUGGGAAAUUUUCACUUCCCGGCAUUUCCCCAGUAUCAGUUGUUUCUUGCUGACCUGGAGAUCUUAUAAAAUGUGACACAUGGUUGGCCAUGACCAUGCUACUCUUUGAAGAGUGGCCAUCCUGCCUAUUAGAUUCGAGCCUUCUUUCUUUCUCCCCAUUGGUUGUUACUGCCUGUGCCAGCCAUAAAAUUACACUACUAGGCCGACUACACAUCUUAAAGAAACCAAAAAGAUGGCUUUACUGGCACGUUGUGUUCCCUCUGCUGCUGUGACCCUCAUGAGCAUGUUUCUUCAUAUGUAAAGAGAGAAUUAAAUUAAAUGGGAUUAUUAAUAUAAAGCAUUUGGUAAAGUAUUGGCUUAGGGUUGAUUUUACUAAUUGGUAACAUUAUUAUUGCUAAUCUAUUGUUUCCAUCAUAAAUCAGAAUGCACUUGUGAUCCUAGAGAACACUCCUUUGGUUGAUGAUAAGAAGUGAAAAUGGACUUUGCCCCUUUUUUUUUAAUGUUUAUUUUUGAGAGAGAAAGAGUGUGAGUGGGGGAGGGGCAGAGAGAGAGGGAGAGAAAGAAUCCUAAGUAGGCUCUGUACUGUCAGUGCAGAACCUGAUGCAUGGCUCUAUCUCAUGAACCGUGAGAUCAUGACCUGAGCUGAACCCAAAAGUUGGACUUAACCGAUGGAUCUAUCCAGGCACCCCCAAAAUGGACUUUGUCUUAAAUUAUUUCAGGUCAUGUUUUUUUCCCUAUUAGAAAUCCAAAUUUCCAAACUGUUGAGAAAAAGCUAUCACUAAUAUUUAUGACUUUUAGAAAUUCAUUUUUUUUGCUUUUUCCUUUCUUAUAUUAUCAAAGAAGCUGUUUCCAUGUGUUCCACAAAUGAGAAAUAAAUAUAUGAAUUCAUAUUUAAUAGCUUUUUGAAAAUUCUCAAUUUUCAAAAAUGGGCAAGAUAUAUCAAUUACUAUUUUGGAAAUUCUCGGAGAUUCCAUCUUCCUGUCUUUGUGCCUUCAGUGUGGGAGAUGGUCUAGCUCUCUCACCUCUGCCUUGUCUUACAAUGAAAGAAAGUUUUAAUCAC